rnacentral:tRNA from 1 species
GGGGGAGGGUCAAGUGGUAGAGAGCAUGCUUAGCAUGCAUGAGGUCCUGGGUUCAAUCCCCAGUUUCUCCU